UCUUAUCAAGAGUGGCGGAGGGUUCGGCCCUUUGAAACCCGGCAACCGGUUGGGAUGCCAGCGGCAGUCCCGAUACGGUGCCAAUUCCGACGGACAUCUAAUGUCCGAGAGAUGAGA
rnacentral:ncRNA from 1 species